rnacentral:pre_miRNA from 1 species
AGCCUUCUGUAUCGGUGCUGAGAUUUCGUCACACACCAGACCACAAGGGCUGAUGACACUCAAGAUAAAUAAAGCG